AUGAGAAUACGCAUCCUAUUCUGCCUCCAUCUCACCAUACUCCUCUCCCUCUCUGUGAGCUCAACCUGCCAAACUGAUCCCCAAACAGAGGCACUUCUCCAAUUCAAGGCCAGCUUAGCUGACCCUCUGAACUAUCUUCAGACAUGGACAAACGCCACGUCCCCGUGCCAGUUCCAUGGCAUCCAGUGCAGCGCAGGCUCGGUGACUGAGAUCUCGCUGUCGAGCAUGAACCUCUCCGGCACGAUCUCGCCGUCCAUCGCCGCGCUCAGCGGCCUGGAGCGGCUCGAUCUGGACACCAAUUCAUUGUCAGGAGCUGUACCUUCUGAGCUAAUCAGCUGCACCCAGCUCCGGUUCCUGAACCUUUCCUGGAAUACCCUGACCGGAGAGCUGCCGGAUUUUUCGGCGCUGACGGUGCUAGAGAGCCUGGACGUCGCGAACAAUGGCUUCUCCGGCCGGUUUGCGGCGUGGGUGGGCGACAUGACCGGCCUGGUGUACCUCAGCAUCGGCUGCAACAACUACGAUCAAGGGGAGAUGCCUCCGAGCAUUGGGAACCUCAAGAACCUGACGUAUCUGUACCUGUCGAACUGCAGCUUGACAGGGGGGAUACCCGACUCCGUCUUCGAGCUGACCCUGCUGGAGACGCUGGAUUUGUCCCUGAACAAUCUCGCCGGCGAGAUCCCGAAGGCCAUCGGCAACCUCAAGAAAGUGUGGAAGAUCGAGCUGUACAAGAACAUCCUCACCGGCGAGCUCCCGCCGGAGCUUGGCAGGCUCGCGGAGCUGCGGGAGAUCGACGUCUCCCGUAACCAGCUCAGCGGCGGAAUCCCGGCAGCAUUCGCCAAGCUCAAGAACUUGGAGGUGAUCCAGCUGUACCGGAACAACCUGUCCGGGGCGAUCCCGGCCGAGUGGGCCGAGCUCCGGUCCCUGAAGAGCUUCUCCGUCUACGAGAACCGUUUCGCCGGCGAGUUCCCGGCGAACUUCGGCCGGUUCUCGUCGCUCGACAGCGUGGACAUCUCCGAGAACGGAUUCGUCGGGCCGUUCCCGAGGCACCUCUGCAACGGCAAGAGCCUCCAGUUCCUUCUCGCCCUGCAGAACGGCUUCUCCGGCGAGGUCCCGGAGGAGUACUCGGCGUGCCAAACCCUGCAAAGGUUCCGGAUCAACAAGAACCAGCUCACCGGCAGCAUCCCGGAGAGGUUGUGGGGGCUCCCCGCCGUCACGAUCAUCGACGUAUCGGACAACGGGUUCACCGGGACUAUAUCGCCGCUGAUCGGCGAGGCGCAGAAUCUGAACCAGCUCUGGGUGCAGAACAACAGGCUCAGUGGCACGAUCCCGGCGGAAACCGGCCGGCUCGGGCAGCUCCAGAAGCUCUACCUGUCCAACAAUUCUUUCUCGGGGACAAUACCGUCGCAGAUUGGGAACUUGGCACAGCUGACGGCGCUGCACCUGGAAGACAACGCAUUGGGUGGCGCAUUGCCCGCUGAUAUCGGCAGCUGCUCCAGGCUCGUCGAGAUCGACGUCUCCCGGAACGAGCUCACGGGCCCGAUCCCCGCCUCGCUGUCGCUGCUGUCGUCUCUGAACUCACUCAACUUGUCACGCAAUGCCAUCACCGGGAUGAUCCCGGCCCAGCUUCAGGCGCUGAAGCUGAGCUCCGUCGACUUCUCAGCGAACCGGCUUACCGGCAGCGUGCCGCCCGGGCUGCUCGUGAUCGCCGGCGACGAGGUGUUCGCCGGGAAUCCCGGUCUCUGCGUCCAUGGCUGGUCUGAGCUCGGCGCGUGUAAUACGGACGACCACCACAGGGACGGCCUCGCGAGGAGAUCGCUUGUCGUCCUGCCGGUCAUUGUAUCCGUGAUGGUGCUGCUUGUGGUUGGCAUACUGUUCGUGAGCUACAGAAGCUUCAAGCUCGAGGAGCAGAGGAGGAGGGACCUGGAGCGCGGCGACGGGUGCGACCAGUGGAAGCUGGAGUCGUUCCACCCGCCGGAGCUGGACGCCGACGAGAUAUGCGGCGUCGGGGAGGAGAACCUCGUCGGGUCGGGCGGUACGGGGCGCGUGUACCGGCUUCAGCUCAAGGACGGCGGCGGCACUGUGGCCGUGAAGCGGCUGUGGAAGGGCGACGCCGCGCGGGUCAUGGCCGCGGAGAUGUCCAUCCUCGGUACGAUCCGGCACCGGAAUGUCCUCAAGCUCCACGCCUGCCUGUCGCGCGGUGAGCUCAACUUCAUCGUCUACGAGUACAUGCCGCGGGGCAACCUGUACCAGGCGCUCCGCCGGGAGGCCAAGGGCGGCGGCGGCGAGCCCGAGCUGGACUGGCCACGGCGGUGCGGGGUCGCGCUCGGCGCCGCCAAGGGGCUCAUGUACCUCCACCACGACUGCACACCGGCGGUCAUCCACCGCGACAUCAAGUCCGCCAACAUACUUCUCGAUGAGGACUACGAGGCCAAGAUCGCCGACUUCGGCAUCGCCAGAGUCGCCGCCGGCAACUCCGAGGAGUUCAGCUGCUUCGCCGGAACCCACGGCUACCUCGCUCCCGAGCUCGCCUACUCUCUCAAGGUGACGGAGAAGACGGACGUGUACAGCUUCGGCGUCGUGCUCAUGGAGCUGGUCACCGGCCGGAGCCCGAUCGACGCGCGCUUCGGCGAGGGCAAGGACGUCGUGUUCUGGCUGUCGAGCAAGCUCGGAACGCAGAGACUGGACGACGUUGUGGACCCGCGCCUCGCAGCGUCGUCCGCCAAGGGCAAGGAGGAGAUGCUCAGGGUACUCAAGAUCGCCAUGCUCUGCACAACCAAGCUGCCGGCCGGGCGGCCGGCAAUGAGGGACGUGGUGAACAUGCUCACGGACGCCUGCGCGGGGUCCUGCAGCCCGCGCGGCAACCCGCCGGUGUGGAGCUGCAGCAAAAGCGCGCGCUGA
rnacentral:rRNA from 1 species